UGCUAUGACGGGGGUAUCCGGCCUGAGAGGGUGAACGGACACACUGGAACUGAGACACGGUCCAGACUCCUACGGGAGGCAGCAGUAGGGAAUAUUGCUCAAUGGGGGAAACCCUGAAGCAGCAACGCCGCGUGGAGGAUGAAGGUUUUAGGAUUGUAAACUCCUUUUGUUAGAGAAGAUAAUGACGGUAUCUAACGAAUAAGCACCGGCUAACUCCGUGCCAGCAGCCGCGGUAAUACGGAGGGUGCAAGCGUUACUCGGAAUCACUGGGCGUAAAGAGCGCGUAGGCGGGAUAGUCAGUCAGGUGUGAAAUCCUAUGGCUUAACCAUAGAACUGCAUUUGAAACUACUAUUCUAGAGUGUGGGAGAGGUAGGUGGAAUUCUUGGUGUAGGGGGUAAAAUCA
rnacentral:rRNA from 1 species